rnacentral:rRNA from 1 species
GAUGAACGCUGGCGGCGUGCUUAACACAUGCAAGUCGAACGGGAAACCUUUUAAUGAAGCUUCGGCAGAUUUCGCUGGUUUCUAGUGGCGGACGGGUGAGUAACGCGUGGGUAACCUGCCUUAUACAGGGGGAUAACAGUCAGAAAUGACUGCUAAUACCGCAUAAGCGCACAGGACCGCAUGGUCCGGUGUGAAAAACUCCGGUGGUAUAAGAUGGACCCGCGUUGGAUUAGCUUGUUGGUGGGGUAACGGCUCACCAAGGCGACGAUCCAUAGCCGGCCUGAGAGGGUGAACGGCCACAUUGGGACUGAGACACGGCCCAGACUCCUACGGGAGGCAGCAGUGGGGAAUAUUGCACAAUGGGGGAAACCCUGAUGCAGCGACGCCGCGUGAAGGAAGAAGUAUCUCGGUAUGUAAACUUCUAUCAGCAGGGAAGAUAGUGACGGUACCUGAAUAAGAAGCCCCGGCUAACUACGUG